rnacentral:rRNA from 1 species
CAAGGAAUUUUCGUCAAUGGGCGCAAGCCUGAACGAGCAACGCCGCGUGGAGGACGACGGCCUUCGGGUUGUAAACUCCUUUUGCGGGGGACGACAUCGACUGUACCCCGCGAAUAAGGCUCGGCUAACUCUGUGCCAGCAGCCGCGGUAAGACAGAGGAGCCAAGCGUUGUCCGGAUUGACUGGGCGUAAAGCGCACGCAGGCGGUCGUGCCCGUGGGGUGUGAAAACUGGCGGCUUAACUGCCAGAGGCCACCUCAUACGGCGCGACUCGAGCCAUGCAGAGGUCCACGGAAUUGCCGGUGUAGUGGUGAAAUGCGUAGAGAUCGGCAGGAACACCCAGGGGGAAACCAGUGGACUGGGCAUGCGCUGACGCUCAGGUGCGAAAGCGUGGGGAGCGAAC